UCCUGUGCCAGUCUGCUUCCUGAGAGAUGUGCCCGGAGUGGUUCUUUUUAUAUAGGGAAUCGGUCACAGCCUGGAUUCUUCACAGAAUAAAAUGCUGAGCCAUAUUUAUGCAGAGAAAUUUUAUGCCAGUCAGACAUUGAUAAAACAUAUACUGCAUGAAAAAGGAGCAAGAAUUUAAGAAUCCUACCUAAAACAGCGAUUUACGAUUUUCAGUAGCUGAAGUUCCCUUUUACCUCAUUGGGGUUUACAGAUCAUAGGAGAACCUUUCUGAGAAUACCUUUCUAAUUUCCCACAGAGAAGGAACAAGAGAAUGAAAAGGUUGAAUAAAACUGCAAGGAAACAAAAAAUUCCUGUUAAAAAGCACAUUUCUAUGAAAGAAACUCCAGAACAACCUCCAGGAGAGCCAAAAAAGUCACAGUGGAUGUAGAAAAAGAAACAACAACUUCAGAAGUAAAUAAGGUGAGUUUCACCAACACUGUUUAAUCUGCCAAAUAAUGCAGCAGCUGAUAGGUGUCAUCAAGUGCCAUACACAUUUUUAGACAAACACCUAUCAUACAAGGAGACCUGCAAUUUGUGGCUGGUGUAUGCAGUGCCCCUUACCACACUAUGCUGAUUCAAAAAUGAAUUAUGACCGAUUACUGAAAACAAUUAUGUGG